GACAGAGGAUGCAAGCGUUAUCCGGAAUGAUUGGGCGUAAAGCGUCUGUAGGUGGCUUUUUAAGUCCGCCGUCAAAUCCCAGGGCUCAACCCUGGACAGGCGGUGGAAACUACCAAGCUGGAGUACGGUAGGGGCAGGAGGGAAUUUCCGGUGGAGCGGUGAAAUGCGUAGAGAUCCGGAAGAACACCGGUGGCGAAGGCGGUCUGCUGGGGUCGAACUGACGCUGAGGCGCGACAGCGUGGGGAG
rnacentral:rRNA from 1 species